UCUUCUUAACAAAGGAGAAACUCCUGGGAAGG
rnacentral:piRNA from 1 species